UACGAACCGUGCGAACGUUGUUCGGAAUCACUGGGCUUAAAGGGCGCGUAGGCGGGCUGUCAAGUCUGGGGUGAAAUGCCGCGGCUCAACCGUGGAACUGCCUUAGAUACUGACGGCCUCGAGGAAGGUAGGGGCAUGCGGAACUGUAGGUGGAGCGGUGAAAUGCGUUGAUAUCUACAGGAACUCCGGUGGUGAAAGCGGCGUGCUGGACCUUUUCUGACGCUGAGGCGCGAAAGCUAGGGGAGCAAACGGG
rnacentral:rRNA from 1 species